UACGUAGGGUGCAAGCGUUAAUCGGAAUUACUGGGCGUAAAGCGUGCGCAGGCGGUUUUGUAAGUCUGAUGUGAAAUCCCCGGGCUCAACCUGGGAAUUGCAUUGGAGACUGCAAGGCUAGAAUCUGGCAGAGGGGGGUAGAAUUCCACGUGUAGCAGUGAAAUGCGUAGAGAUGUGGAGGAACACCGAUGGCGAAGGCAGCCCCCUGGGUCAAGAUUGACGCUCAUGCACGAAAGCGUGGGGAGCAAACCGG
rnacentral:rRNA from 1 species